rnacentral:lncRNA from 1 species
AUUUUUCUUCCUUGAAUUUUGACGAAAUUAAACUUUAGGGAAUAAAGUGUUGAAUUCAAAAAAUAUAGAAGCAAAUAUGUUAAUAUGUAAUAUUUUAGGGACGAAAACGUAUUCUUUCCUUCAAUUCUUUGAGAGAGGGAUCUAUAAAUUUGUAAGAAUUAAAUUUUAGGGACUGAAGUGCUGGGUUCUAGAAAGGGUAGUUCGGUCUUUUUUUUGUCACUGACGAGAUUUUUGACAGAGAGACCUCUAAUUUUGACGGAAUUAAACCUCAAGGAUGAAAGUGUUGAGCUUUA